rnacentral:rRNA from 1 species
UACGAGGGGGGGCAAGCGUUGUUCGGAAUUAUUGGGCGUAAAGGGUGCGUAGGCGGUUUGGUAAGUCUUAUGUGAAAUCUACAGGCUCAACUUGUAGUCUGCAUGAGAAACUGCCGGGCUUGAGUAUGGGAGAGGUGAGUGGAAUUCCUGGUGUAGCGGUGAAAUGCGUAGAUAUCAGGAGGAACACCUGUGGCGAAAGCGGCUCACUGGACCGAUAACUGACGCUGAUGCACGAAAGCUAGGGGAGCAAACAGG